GAGAUUAAGCCAUCGCGGCAGGUGCUCACGUUAAGCCCACUGACUUUCAUGUCCCUAUCUACUAUCUAGCGAAACCACAGCCAAGGGAACGGACUUGGAAUAAUGAGCGGGGAAAGAAGACCCUUUUGAGCUUGACUCUAAUCUGGCAGUGUAAGGAGACAUAAGAGGUGCAGAAUAAGUGGGAGAUAUUAGACUUCGGUUUGGUAUCGACAAUGAAAUACCACUACUCUUAUUGUUUCCUCACUUACUUGAUUAAAUGGAACGUGUAUCAUUUCCUAGCCAUUAUACGGAUAUAAUUAUUAUGUCUUAUGGUAUUGGGUUUUGAUGCAAGCUUCUUGAUCAAAGUAUCACGAGUUUGUUAUAUAAUCGUAAACAAAUUCUUUAAUGAGAGAAUGCAUUUAUGUAUUAUUGACUUAAAAAUUUGGUAUAACUCCAAUUACUCAGGUAUGAUCCAAUUCAAGGACAUUGCCAGGUAGGGAGUUUGACUGGGGCGGUACAUCUCUCAAAUAAUAACGGAGGUGUCCCAAGGCCAGCUCAGUGCGGACAGAAACCACACAUAGGGCAAAUGCUGACUUGAUCUCGGUGUUCAGUACACACAGGGACAGAAAAAGCUCGGCCUAUCGAUCCUUUUGGUUUAAAGAGCUUUUAACAAGAGGUGUCAGAAAAGUUACCAUAGGGAUAACUGGCUUGUGGCGGCCAAGCGUUCAUAGCGACGUCGCUUUUUGAUCCUUCGAUGUCGGCUCUUCCUAUCAUUGUAAAGCAAAAUUCACCAAGCGUUGGAUUGUUCACCCAUGCAAGGGAACGUGAGCUGGGUUUAGACCGUCGUGAGACGGUUUUACCCUACUAAUGACAAAACGUUGUUGCGACAGAAUUCCUGCGUAGUACGAGAGGAACCGCAGGUACGGACCAAUGGCACAAUACUUGUUCGAGCGAACAGUGGUAUGACGCUACGUCCGUUGGACUAUGCCUGAACGCCUCUAAGGUCGUAUCCGUGCUGGACUGCAAUGAUAAAUAAGGGGCAAUUUGCAUUGUAUGGCUUCUAAACCAUUAAAAGUUUUUAAUUUGUUUUAUUUACGACAAUGGAUGUGAUGCCAAUGUUAUUUAUAACAUAGUAAAUUGGGAGGAUCUUCGAUCACCUGAUGCGGCGCUAGUUAUAUUUUAAAACAUUAUUUAAUACAAUGUCAAAGCCUAGAAUCAAUUGUAAACGACUUUUGUGACAGGCAAGGUGUUGUUAGUGGUUGAGCAGCUGCCAUACUGCGAUCCACUGAAGCUUAUCCUUUGCUUGAUGAUUC
rfam:Drosophila virilis strain TSC#15010-1051.87 Ctg01_16752, whole genome shotgun sequence.